rnacentral:rRNA from 1 species
GAUGAACGCUGGCGGCGUGCCUAAUACAUGCAAGUCGAGCGAACAGACGAGGAGCUUGCUCCUUUGACGUUAGCGGCGGACGGGUGAGUAACACGUAGGUAACCUACCUAUAAGACUGGGAUAACUUCGGGAAACCGGAGCUAAUACCGGAUAAUAUUUCGAACCGCAUGGUUCGAUAGCGGAAGAUGGCUUUGCUAUCACUUAUAGAUGGACCUGCGCCGUAUUAGCUAGUUGGUAAGGUAACGGCUUACCAAGGCAACGAUACGUAGCCGACCUGAGAGGGUGAUCGGCCACACUGGAACUGAGACACGGUCCAGACUCCUACGGGAGGCAGCAGUAGGGAAUCUUCCGCAAUGGGCGAAAGCCUGACGGAGCAACGCCGCGUGAGUGAUGAAGGUCUUCGGAUCGUAAAACUCUGUUAUUAGGGAAGAACAAACGUGUAAGUAACUGUGCACGUCUCGACGGUACCUAAUCAGAAAGCCACGGCUAACUACGUG